AGCGUGGCGCAGUGGAAGCGUGCUGGGCCCAUAACCCAGAGGUCGGUGGAUCGAAACCACUCGCU
rnacentral:tRNA from 1 species